GCGGACGGGUGAGUAACACGUGGGUAAUCUGCCCUUGAGUGGGGAAUAACUUUGGGAAACUGAAGCUAAUACCGCAUACGAUCCUUCGGGAUGAAAGCUUUAUGCGCUCAAGGAUGAGCCCGCGGUCGAUUAGCUAGUUGGUGGGGUAAUGGCUCACCAAGGCUACGAUCGAUAGCCGGCCUGAGAGGGCACACGGCCACACUGGGACUGAGACACGGCCCAGACUCC
rnacentral:rRNA from 1 species